rnacentral:rRNA from 1 species
UGCGUAGGUGGUUUCUUAAGUCAGAGGUGAAAGGCUACGGCUCAACCGUAGUAAGCCUUUGAAACUGAGAAACUUGAGUGCAGGAGAGGAGAGUAGAAUUCCUAGUGUAGCGGUGAAAUGCGUAGAUAUUAGGAGGAAUACCAGUUGCGAAGGCGGCUCUCUGGACUGUAACUGAUACUGAGGCACGAAAGCGUGGGGAGCGAAACAG